rnacentral:rRNA from 1 species
UACGUAGGGUGCAAGCGUUGUCCGGAAUUAUUGGGCGUAAAGAGCUUGUAGGCGGUUUGUCGCGUCUGCUGUGAAAUUUCGGGGCUCAACCCCGAACUUGCAGUGGGUACGGGCAGGCUAGAGUGUGGUAGGGGAGACUGGAAUUCCUGGUGUAGCGGUGAAAUGCGCAGAUAUCAGGAGGAACACCGAUGGCGAAGGCAGGUCUCUGGGCCACUACUGACACUGAGAAGCGAAAGCAUGGGGAGCGAACAGG